GUUUUAUCAUUUUAUCUUCCCUAAAAUGUUGGCAUCUAGCAGGAUCUAGCAUGGGAAAAGUGAAAUUGAAAACUCAGUAAGGAUUAAUAUAUAGCUUGGCGAGGCUGAAAGAUUAGCUUACUAAAACAGUGUUUGAGACAAGCUGAAGACUUUAUAGAUUCUAGACUUCUAAAACAAUCACACCACCAUUAUCUUAUCUCAUACAUUCAAUGAC